rnacentral:lncRNA from 1 species
CUCAGUUACAAGUCAGGCAUGGUGCUGGCAUGCCUGUAAUCCUAGCUAGUAGAGAGGCUGAGGCAGGAGGAUCACAAGUUUAAGGCCAGCCUCAGCAACUUGGCCCUAUCUCAAAAUUAAAAACAGGAAGGGCUGUGGAUAGAGCUCAGUGGUACAGCACCUGAGUUCAAUCCCCACUGUCAAAGGCAGAAGGGUUCGGUUCCAGGGGCACAUGCCUUGGCCCCCAUGUGCGGAAAAGCCUGCACCUCAAGCUGUUCUUACCGGUCAAGCUGCAAUGCUCCACUCAACGUGCACAGUCCUCUUCACGGCUGAGGCCAGAGGAAGGCCCAGGACCCUGAGGCUCUCCAAGGCAGUUCCAGGAAUGACUAGAGCUCCUGAACGAUGGCAAUCCCCACUGACCUAAAGCAAAGGAGAGCCACAGCCCUUGCCAACAACCACUCUCCACGCCCGCACAGUGCACAGCACUCACCAAUACUGACACCCCUCAACUUGGUCAGAGGGGCAUAGUCCCC